AUGGAUACAAAAAUCCUAAACUGGAAUGUUAGAGGCCUCAACAGUCUGGCCCGGAGAAGGGCUGUCCACAAUUUAAUCUGCAGCUCUGACUGUAAUAUCGUCUGUCUUCAAGAGACCAAAUUGGCUGUGGUGGACAAAUACAUCAUGGCUGAGUGCCUGGGCAGUAACUUCUCGGACAAUUUUAUUGCAAAGGAGGCUGUUGGUUCACGUGGCGGAAUAAUUGUUGCUGUCGCACAAGGUUUCUCCAUCUCCAUUGACCAUUCCACCUCGGGCACUCAUUUCAUCUCGGGAACUGUCGUGGAUCAAACCUCCAACUCUUCCUGGACCUUGAUUGUCGUUUAUGGCCCCCAAUUGGACGCUGAUAAGAUCUUGUUUAUGCAUGAACUGAAGAACUGCAAGCCUUUUGUUGCCUCUGACUGGUUGCUUGCUGGCGAUUUCAACUUGAUUUGCCAAACCUCUGAAAAGAGCAAUGACAACAUCAACCUGCGGAUGAUGGAACAUUUCAGAAAGAUGAUUGAUGAUCUUGAGCUCCGGGAGAUUGCCCUCUCGGGCCGGAAGUUCACCUGGUCCAAUGAGCGGGCGAACACAGUCCACACAAAAAUUGAUUGGGUGCUAUGCACAAAAGAAUGGGAGCUUCGCUAUCCGCAUUGCCACUUGACACCGCUAUCGACGAGCAUCUCAGACCACUGCCCGAUGAUUCUUCAGAACCUCGAGAUCAGGCACUUCCGGGGGUUCAGGUUUGAGGCCGCUUGGUUGAACAUGCAAGAUUUCCCUCUUGUGGUGGGACAUGCCUAG
rnacentral:rRNA from 1 species